AUGUUCUUGUCGGGGUGCCUUGAAGCAAAGGCUGAGAUCGCAAAGUUGCGGAUCCCGUUGAACCUGAUCAGGUUAGCGCCUGCGUAGGGAACAAGAUUGCUCGCCUU
rfam:Pseudomonas putida S11 PPS11_c59, whole genome shotgun sequence.